rnacentral:lncRNA from 1 species
AUGAUAACUGAGGCCCCGUGCGUUUCCAAUGAAAUGCUUCACAGGGAGCAGCCGCCUGAAGCCGCACACAUGGUCAGCACAGCAGAGAUACACUCCCAGCCCCCAGUCACAUUUCAUAACGUUCUCUUGCUUCCCUGGAACCCGAGACACACUGAAAGAGCGAAAAAGAGUGAGGCAGUGAGAGAUAAGCAGCAGGCUGUUACUUCCACUGAAUUUCUGUGGGAGUCGUGCAUAUCUUCAUCUAGAAGAGAGUUCGGAUCUCUGAGUCAUCAAAACGGAGCGCCAGCAUUGUGAUUGAACUGUACAAAAACAGGAUUGUGGGUAAAAAAAGAAACACCACACAAGCACAAAAGCUGACUUAUGAAUCACACGCAUUAAUCUGCGAAUGUAUGACUCACUGGAUUUUUUUGAGAAGCGCAAACUUGUUUCAAUGGUAACAGAAGGGAAAACGUGAGUGAAGUUUUAUGGUUUAUCGCAGGCCAAAAACAUACUUGGAAAAGUGUCGUUUUGUUAUUAUUUAUAUACCAAUGUAGUUUUUAAUGUUUUAUAAUAUUAUUAGUUUUUCGUUUGCUAUUUAGAUUAUUUAUUUAUUUAUUAUUUAUUUAAUAAUUUUAUUUAGAAUUUGUUAUUAUUGUUAUUUCAGUUUCUUUCAGUGUUUAUUUCUAGUUAGUAAUUUUAGUGUCUUAACUUAUUUCAGUUUGUAGCUAAGGCAACAUUUCUCAUUUUCGUCAUCUAGUGUUUUGUAUUUUAUCAGCUUUAUUUAGAAUUAACAAUUUUAUUUUAGUAGACCUGUGUGUUCAUAAUUAUGACAAUAUUUAAAUAGAUAAAAAAUACCAGUCGGCAAUAUCAAUCAAAAUGAGCUUUUUUCAACAGCUCAUUCAAAAAAAUGCUGCAUGUCAUACUGUAUAUUAAAAAUACUUUGCCACUUCGUGUGUUUUAAUCAAUUGCUAUCUGAUUGGAUAUGCAUAUUCUAUUUACACUUGGCUACGUAAAUGUCUCUCCGCGGAACAGAUAUUAAUACAACCUUCCCACACUAUUUGCAAAUAUAACAGAGUUCACUUCCGUGAUGAUGCUAAUGCUGGGCAACAAAAUUAUUUGAUAAAGGGAUCAUAUGAUGCAAUUUCAAGUUGUCCAUUCUCUUUGGAGUGUUACAAGUUGUUCGUGAAUAGAUAAGAUCCUUAAAGAUGCAAAGACUAAAAUCUCAAACCCAAAGAGAUGUUCUUUAUAAAUGUCUACACCCUCCUAAAACGCUUCGUUUAAACAUGCCCCACAUGUCUACGUCACUGUGUAGGAAAAUGUUAAUAAUGACGCCAAAAAGAGUGUGAUGUGCAUUCGUACAAGAGUUGCAAAAAUCAUAUGAAUUUGUUCGAAUGACCUACACCUAACCUCGCCCCUAAACCUAACCAACACAAGGGUUUAGACAAAUUGUAUAAAAUCAUAGGAGUGAGGUUGUACAAAUUAUUAGCCACCUCGUAAAAUACGUAUAAAUUGGUCGUGAGACAGCGUUGUGUAUCGAUAUAAAAAAAACGAGGGAUCUGAGAAUACAGGACUCUGGGUGCGGGACUGUAGAUGCAGCAGGCUCAGGCUCCGAGUCUGCAGCUUCAUAAUAUUGCACGCUUGAAGUAUUCAGCCAAUCACAAUUCACUAGAUAGCUGGCCAAUCAUAAUGAUGUGCUUUGUAAAAAUAGACGCGUUUCAGAAAGGCAGAGCAGAGAGGAGCAACAAUACUGUACAGUAUGUGGAACAUAAUGUGUUUUUUAACCUUAAACCGCAUAAACACAUUGCAUUAGACAAAAUACAUUAAAUAAUGUUCUUUUUAGCAAUGCAAUAUUACCACUUUAAAUGCCCUCUUCAGCCCACAUGGCAAUUAGUUUUGAGUUUUAUUUAGUUGCUCCAUCUAUGUCUCUCAUCCACGUGUCCCAAACUUGUGUAUACUGAUGCUGUUUUGUUUGGGAGGAGUUAAGUUUACAUAUCCGGCCUGAACAAGCAGAUGCAUUUACUCUUGGCCAAGUUGCUUCUUUGUAUGUAUUUGAAACCACCUCCUGAGGGAGUCUGAGUUAUCAGAUUACUAUACGUCUCAAAUGGGUCUUUGAGGGCAUUUACACUUGGUCUUCAAUACUUAACUAUACAAUGAGUAAAGAUGAAGUGACCAGGUGUGAAACCGCCAUAAUAUAGGUUUACAUCAGUUUUUUUGUUGAUAUUUAUCUAAAGUACGGGGAAAAUACAGAAGACAGGGAGAGCAAGUUCCUUUCAAACAAUAAUCUGCGCGGGGAAAAAGAGGACAAGAGACAUGGGGGAUGGGUCUGCAAGUCUUUUAUCUCAAAUUUCCCACAUCCUGCCGCCGAGUUUAAAACCGGCCACCCAAUUUGAAAGAAUGCCUGGUAUGCACCUCAUUUCCAUAGUGCCCAGCAUUGUUCUCUAUUUAAAUAAAGCCUGUUGCCCGCCAAUAGGAGAAACAAAACAUGAGAAUAAUGAGGUAAUGCAGUGCAUGCGGUCUUCAUAUGCACUUUGUAGACCUACUUCACAUGACUGAAAAAAAAACAAAAGUGCUGUCCAUUGGGAUGAUGACAAAAUUUAUGUACAUAUGUGUCGCAAAAGCAAACAAUACACUGUACAAAUCAGAAUUAUUGAUUUUUCUUUUCUAUUUGUGUUUUCUGAAGUUACAGUGUGUUGAGCUCUCUCU